GUUGAAAUACCGGUUCCCGUACGAUCACCAAAGUUAAGAAAUGUCGAGCGUGAUCAUUACCAAGAUGAGUGACUACUUGAGAAUAUCAGGUGCU